UAAAGAUAAUGACCGGACGAGAUGGCUACUCCAGAAGUGUUGAAAUGUCUUCCCAACAGUUUGUUGAUCUCGUACAUAUGGACUGGAUGAAUAGGCUACAAGCGCCACAUGCGUAUUCUAUACAAGCAAGGAGGUGCAUCGAAAUAGCUCUAUCUUGCGUUGAGACUGAUCGACACAAAAGGCCAAGUAUUGGGGAUAUCGUCAGUAAUCUGAAUAACACAGAGUAUGGAAUCCGGAUUUUUGACGCAUUAAGAAAUGGCUCAGACCACCAGGUGUGAUCUCUAAUUAAUGACAUAAUUUCUCAUUUUUUUCCCAUAUCGGAUAAUUGUGUACACGUGAGACGAGACAGUAUAGUACAUUUUUAUCACGUGUUAACAAAACUGUGAUCACAAUUGUAGUGAUGUCCACCACACAUAGUAGAGUGUGUUUCAUGUUGUUAUUUAUGGUCAUGUGUACCUCAGUUGGCACGGUAUCAAACUUCCAAUCCCA